rnacentral:rRNA from 1 species
GACGAACGCUGGCGGCGUGCUUAACACAUGCAAGUCGAACGGUAAGGCCCCUUCGGGGGUACACGAGUGGCGAACGGGUGAGUAACACGUGGGUGAUCUGCCCUGCACUCUGGGAUAAGCCUGGGAAACUGGGUCUAAUACCGGAUAUGAGCUCCUGUCGCAUGGCGGGGGUUGGAAAGGUUUACUGGUGCAGGAUGGGCCCGCGGCCUAUCAGCUUGUUGGUGGGGUAAUGGCCUACCAAGGCGACGACGGGUAGCCGGCCUGAGAGGGCGACCGGCCACACUGGGACUGAGACACGGCCCAGACUCCUACGGGAGGCAGCAGUGGGGAAUAUUGCACAAUGGGCGAAAGCCUGAUGCAGCGACGCCGCGUGAGGGAUGACGGCCUUCGGGUUGUAAACCUCUUUCAGCAGGGACGAAGCGAGAGUGACGGUACCUGCAGAAGAAGCACCGGCCAACUACGUGCCAGCCGCCGCCGUAA